rnacentral:lncRNA from 1 species
UUCAGUGCACGCAACAGUUCCAUAAGGUGAUUUUGUGUUUUUUUAUGCUGUAAAAUGCCACGAACUUUCGUCAGAAAAUCAACUAGAGGCGAAUGGACUGAAGAAGACCUUAGAGCAGCUGCAAAUGCUUUACGUCAGCAGCCAACCCAGAGUGCAAAUGCGAUUGCUAAAGAAUAUAGAAUCCCUCUACGAACCUUGAUGAGACGUAUAAAGAAUAAAAAUCUUGAAAAGGGAAGUCUUGGACCAACCGCGUCGUUAGGUAUUAAAAAUCAACUUAAACUGGUUUCUUAUAUAAAACGUUUAGAACAAAUUGACUAUGCUUUAACUUCAAGAGACGUAAGACACCUUGCUUUUACCUUUGCUCAAAGGAAUGGGUUAAAAUGUCGAUUUAACCAACAGAAUUAGCAGACUACGAUUGGUUUAAACUUUUUUUAAAACGACACCCAACCCUAACCAUGAGAGUAACUCAAGGUCGUUCAAUUGCACGUUCACUUGGUAUGUCUGCCGCAGAAGUAGAUCCAUACUUCCAAAUAUUAAACGAUACAUUUACGACGCUCAAUUUGUUUGAUAAACCGGCACAAAUUUUCAAUAUGAACGAGAGUGGCUUGCAAUUAUGGAAUAAAUCUACCAAAGUCGUGGCCACAAAAGGAGCUAGAGAUGUACAGUCAGUCACAAGCUUAGAAAAAGGAGAAAUAGUUAGCGUCAUCGCUUGUUGUAAUGCAGAAGGUAGCUUUUUGCCUCCCUACGUAAUAUUUAAAGGCAAAAACAAAUGCAAAAACAUGCCUUCUGCCUCGUUUUUUUUGCCUCGUAAGGGACUAGGCCCUGCAGUACUGAUAUUAGAUGGCCAUGCUUCGCAUUGUAAUGACGUGGAUCUUUUGGACUUUUUGGCUGAAAAUUAAAUUGCUGUAGUUUGUUUACCAAGUCACAUGACUCACUGGCUUCAGCCUCUAGACCGUUCAUUUUUCAAACCUUUAAAGACCUACUGGAAUAGCGCAUGUAACCAGUGGAUAAGAAAUCAUCCAGGACGUUGAAUAACCAGGUAUCAGUUUGGAGAACUAUUAAACCAAGCGUGGUCUCAAGCCGCAACGGUUCAGAAUGGUGUUUCUGGAUUUCGGGCUUGUGGAAUUUAUCCAUGCUCCAAAGAUGCAAUUCCGCACUAUGCAUAUGCUUUAGCUGAACACCAAACUGGAAAUCCACAGAAAGAAGUGGUACAUGUCGAUGCAGAAAACUCUGACGAACAUAGCGGCGUCGUAGCUGUUGUAAAUUUUGAUGAUAUUGCUCCAAUUCCAUCCAUAGCUGGUCCUAGUGGAUCAACCGUUAGAAAACAACACGCAGAAGUCCUUACUUCUCCUGACUACUGCCAAAAAAAACACCAAAAAAUUGAAGGAACACAAAAAGAAGCAACAAGGGAAGGCAAGUAAAUUAGAGAAAAAAAAACGUGCGAUCCUUGCGCAAAAAUCAGUAAAUAAAACAAUAAAAACGUUAACCUUGGUGUAAGAUGGCAUUUUAGCUGGGGUAUGAUGGCCAAUACAAUGUAUUCUACCUAUGGCAUCACAUCCCCAAAUUUGUCAUCUUACCCCAAGUCUAUCGGCAUCUUACCCCUUAGUUGGGGUAAGUUGCCAAAAUGACAGCUGUCAAUGUUUUUCUAACUUUUACGUUUACUUUUAAAAAAAUAAACACUUUUUGGUGUUUCAUAAUUUGUUUAUUGUAUUUGUAAUAAAAUACCCAGUUUUUGUAACUUUUGAAUAAAGUAAUCUUUUUUUUUUUGUAUUUUUAAAAAAAUAUUACUCGUCUUCCCCCCAAUUACCUUAUAUUAGAUACACGUUUUAUGACUUGAUAGUAAAGAAUUAAGAUUCACUUGUCAGUUGUCACCUCUGGCAAAGAGAAGCCAUUGACAGUUGGCAUUUCGCCAACAGUGUUGCAACGUCUAGGCGCAUUUGUUACCUAAUAUAACUUAAAAAUAUUUACUCUAAAUAAAAUUUAAUUUAUAGAAUUUUAA